GGGGAUUUAGCUAAGUGGUAGAGCACUUGCCUAGCAAGCACAAGGCCCUGGGUUCGGUCCCCAGCUCCU
rnacentral:tRNA from 1 species